GUGUGCCAAGGAUAGAAGCAGAGCAGGGAGAGCCCCUGGAUAGAGUCAUUUCCUGGUGGGAGAGGGCUUGAGGGUAGGGUUUGCAAGGGCACAGUGGAUAUGAAUGAGAAUUCAAAGACCCAGUGGGAACAGAUGAGGGAAUACAGUGGAUGCAGAUGAGGGAAUUUGAGAGGCACUAAGAGAGAAAUGGUACAGGUGGGAAUAGAUGACGUCACACUACCCAAUCAUCAGAUUUUGAAUGCUGUGAUACCCAUGCUCUUCACAGGAUCCUGGAACAUGGUGAUUCCUCCUCCAGCAGGGAGGAGACCCAACAAGGAGCCUAGGGAACUCUUUUGUCAGCAUGCAUCCCCUGCAGAUGACAAGGCAGGGAGCAUCCCAAAAUGGACGAGGUAACAAUACUUGCAGGCAUAUGUGUGGGUCAGGUCUUGGAGUGAGCCAGGCUGUGCCAGUGCAUAACACACACUGGCA